rnacentral:tRNA from 1 species
UAGCUCAAUGGUAGAGCGCUAGCUUCCCAAGCUAGACACGCGGGUUCGAUUCCCG